GAUGAAGAACGUAGCGAAAUGCGAUAAGUAAUGUGAAUUGCAGAUUUCAGUGAAUCAUCGAAUCUUUGAACGCACCUUGCGCCUUGUGGUAUUCCACAAGGCAUGCCCGUUUGAGUAUCAUUAAAUCAUCAACUCUAAAACCUUUGUGGUUUUUUUAGAGCUUGGUCUUGAGGGUUUUGCAGGCUUUUUUUUUCGAGUCUGCUCCCUUUAAAUGCAUUAGCGAGACUUCCCUAUGCUGAACCGUCUCUUUGACGUGAUAAUUAUCUGCGUCGAAUUUUGGUUCUCGUUGGGCUUGUUUCUAAUCGUCUGUUAAAGACAAAACGGAUUUGGGUGCAUAUAUGCGCCUUUUUCCAAAACCUUUUUUGAUCUCAAAUCGGGUAGGACUACCCGCUGAACUUAAGCAUAUCAAUAAGCGGAGGA
rnacentral:misc_RNA from 1 species